UGCUCUUCAGACUCAGUCUACAGUCGACCAAAGUCCAGCGAGCAUCUCAGACACCACUGACUCUUUCUGAACUUCAGAUCAGACCCAACAAGACGCUUUCAUUUACACCAGUUCAAGAACAGCACAAAGGAUGAGAAUUGCAGCUCUUCUCUCGCUCCUCAUCAUUCUGGCUCUCAGCGAUGGAGUGGAUUGUCAAAACUUUACAGAAUUCAAGAGAAAACACAUUCUCCCAAUUAACUUUAAAACCAAGAAUAAAGGUGAUUGGGAGAAGUACCUAUGGCAGAAAAAACUCUGUGACCGAACUGCAGUACAAUCCUUCAUCAAGAGCAGUGAGAAUAGUAUAACACAAAUCUGUGAUGGCUCUGGCAAUGGUAAAGGGAACUAUACCAAAAGUGAAGAUUUCUUUGAAGUGUACAUUCUUAAGAGCUCUAAGGGAAUAGAUCCAAAGUGUAUCAUUAAUGAUUGUACUGCAGGCAAAUAUAAUGUUAUUGUUAAAUGCGAGAAAAAUCUCCCUGUGCACUACCAUGGACAAGACAUCAAAGAGAACACACAACCAUGGCCUUGCUUUCAUACACCAUGAUUUGAUUUUCAUCACAGUAGGGAUGAAGAUAUUAAGGAGCUUUGCUUUUAACCAUUCAUUAAAAAUGUUGCUAUGACACACAGAUAUUUAAAGUGGAUAUAAAUCCAAAAGCAUUUCAAUAAAGCUUUCUUCGCAGAGUGCAGUUUGGUACUAUAAAACAAGCUGAUUUAAAUGUACACCUUGAAUCCAAUGUAAGUUGCUCUGAAUAAAAGCAUAAAUGUAUA